UAUUUAUCAAAAAGAAGAGACCGUGGGCAUCUCCUUUGACAAGGACAAAAAUAGCCUUUAGGUUUUUUUGUUGCGGACAUAGGGUUAAGGCUUUCCCCUUCAGUACAUCUUACCCAAAUUUUCU